rnacentral:rRNA from 1 species
GGCAGACGGGUGAGUUACACGUGGGGAUCUACCCCAAUUCCAAUGGUACGGAUUAACCCAGGGAAACUUCGAUUAAUACCGUAUGUGCCCCCUCGGGGGAAAGAUUUAUCGCCAUUGGAUGAACCCGCGUCGGAUUAGCUAGUUGGUGAGGUAAAGGCUCACCAAGGCGACGAUCCGUAGCUGGUCUGAGACGGAUCAUCAGCCACACUGGGACUGAGACACGGCCCAGACUCCAACGGGAGGCAGCAGUGGGGAAUAUUGGACAAUGGGCGCAAGCCUGAACCAGCCAUGCCGCGUGAGUGAUGAAGGCCUUAGGGUCUGUAAAGCUCUUUAGCCGGUGAAGAUAAUGACGGUAACCGGAGAAGAAGCCCCGGCUAAAUUCGUGCCAGCAGCCGCGGUAAUACGAAGGGGGCUAGCGUUGCUCGGAAUCACUGGGCGUAAAGCGCACGUAGCGCGGGUCGUUAAGUCAGGGGUGAAAUCCUGGAGCACAACUCCAGAACUGCCCUUGAUACUGGCGACCUAGAGUUCGUGAGAGGUUGGUGGACACUCCGAGUGUACAGGGGGUUUUCGUAGAUAUUCGGAAGAACACCAGUGGCGACGGCGGCCAA